rnacentral:rRNA from 1 species
GACGAACCGUCCAAACGUUAUUCGGAAUUACUGGGCUUAAAGGGUGCGUAGGCGGCGCGGAAAGUUGGGUGUGAAAUCCCUCAGCUCAACCGAGGAACUGCGCCCAAUACUACCGUGCUUGAGGGAGAUAGAGGUGAGCGGAACUUAGGGUGGAGCGGUGAAAUGCGUUGAUAUCCUAAGGAACACCGGUGGCGAAAGCGGCUCACUGGAUCUCUUCUGACGCUGAGGCACGAAAGCUAGGGUAGCGAACGGG